GAGGCCAGAGGCUAACGCCCGACAGCGCUAUGCGCCCUCGGGCGCAAAGGUG
rnacentral:sRNA from 1 species